rnacentral:misc_RNA from 1 species
GAAAUGCGAUAAGUAAUGUGAAUUGCAGAAUUCAGUGAAUCAUCGAAUCUUUGAACGCACCUUGCGCUCCUUGGUAUUCCUUGGAGCAUGCCUGUUUGAGUAUCAUGAAAUCUUCAAAGUAAAUCUUUUGUUAACUCAAUUGGUUUCUACUUUGGUAUUGGAGGUCUUUGCAGCUUCACACCUGCUCCUCUUUGUUCAUUAGCUGGAUCUCAGUGUUAUGCUUGGUUCCACUCGGCGUGAUAAGUUAUCUAUCGCUGAGGACACUGUAAAAGGUGGCCAAGGUAAAUGCAGAUGAACCGCUUCUAAUAGUCCAUUGACUUGGACAAUACUUUUAUGAUCUGAUCUCAAAUCAGGUAGGACUACCCGAUGAACUUAAG